UACGAAGGUCCCAAGCGUUGUUCGGAAUCACUGGGCGUAAAGGGUGCGUAGGCGGCGCGGAAAGUCAGAGGUGAAAUCCCGGGGCUCAACCCCGGAACUGCCUCCGAUACUGCCGUGCUAGAGUACUGAAGGGGAGUCUGGAAUUCACGGUGGAGCAGUGAAAUGCGUGGAUAUCGUGAGGAACACUAGUGGCGCAGGCGAGACUCUGGGCAGUAACUGACGCUGAGGCACGAAGGCCAGGGGAGCGAACGGG
rnacentral:rRNA from 1 species